CACGCUUUUAUGUAUUCUUGCAGCUCUGUGCACGCUCUGGCCGUGUACGGUUCUGUUACUUGCUUCAUAUACAACCUCAUGUAGUUCAAUCAUGAGUUAAUGUUAUCAUUGUUGUCGUUCACCAGCAGCGUAUCAUUGGGGUCAUGGGUCAAGUUGAUUCUUAAUUUGGUUCUUUUUUAUUUUUUUCCUUCAAGAGGAUACAUAACUUUCUUCAAGAAUUUCUUUUUCCUGAGAGCAAGUACUUCAUUACUUAGUUUCAAAAAUAGUUUCUCUAGAAUUAAUCCAACCAAUUUGCCUGAUUUACUGGUAUGUUAAGAAUGAGUUACAAGGCUCAAGAUUUCAUACAUGAGCCAUGAGUGUCUAAUAUAUCUAGCUUUUAGGUUGAGUUUGUUCAUUUUUCUAGACACGCCAUAUAUUCAGUACAAAUAAGGAGCUAGUGUCUAGGUUUGGGACCUAAAUGCACUACAUAACUAAAAUUAUAAUACAAUUCGCAUGG
rnacentral:lncRNA from 1 species